AUAAAGCUGGACGACCGAAGUAA
rnacentral:miRNA from 1 species